UCAAAUCCCAAAAAGAUUAAAAAAAUCGGAAGAAAAAGAAAACCAUCAUCUCCGUGAGCUUGAGAAACCCUGGAAUCCUGAAUUCACACUCACAGUAGCUAAAUCCUAACCUGAAAGUUCCUUGAAACUGUUGAACUCUAGUAUUGAAAAAUUGCAGAUAAUGGCAGUCUCGAUUCCUCUUCUCCACCAUCUUCUGAAACCCCAUCCCCCUUCUUUCCUCUUCUUAGAGCCCCUCUGUUUAACUAGCUCUCUCCAUUUACAUAAACCUCUACGUUCUUUCAUCAUAAACCCUAAUUCUCAUUCUUCAUCUUCUAGUGUUUCUUACUUCCUUAAACCCUCUUCUUCUUACUUAUCUUCAUCUUCUUUUUCACAUCCCCAAACUCUCUCCACUAGGGCUUUGGUUAAUCAAGACAGAGAAUUCGACCUUGACACUGAAAAUGAAUUCGAAGAAGAAUUCCUAACGGAAGAUGAAGGAGUGGAAACAGAAGAAGUGGAAGAAGAAAUAACAGGUGAAGCUCAAAUUGAACAAGAACUGGAACCGUUGACAGAAUUUGAAGUACCUGUUUUGACUAUGAAAGAAAAGAAAGAACUUGCAUCUUAUGCUCAUAGUCUAGGGAAGAAACUUAAGUCUCAACAAGUUGGUAAAUCUGGUGUUACUUCUUCUCAAGCUGCUGCAUUCAUUGAAAACCUUGAAUCCAAUGAGCUCCUUAAGCUCAAAAUACAUAACAGUUGUCCAGGGGAGCUAGUUGAUGUGGUGAGGGCAUUGGAGAAAUCAACUGGAUCAGUAGCUGUGGGUCAGAUUGGCCGAUCUGUAAUUCUAUACAGACCCAGCAUUACCAAAUUAAAAGCAGCAGAGAAACGAAACCAAGAAAGAAAAGUAUAUGUGAGAAAAGGAUACACACCGAGACCCACUGAUACGUUGCUGAAGAAAGUGGAAGUACCAAGAUUCUCUGGAAGCGGUCGCCGUGGAAGACGUGUUCAAACUCACCCUACCCGCACACGAUCGUAGUUUGCUAUAAUUCUAUAUUCCAAAGAGAGAGGGAAUGAUAUUUCAAAAUGCAAGUUUCCGCUAGUGUAAGUUGAUAGAUUGUUGGCUGAUACGGUUUAAUAUACCAUUGACGAGUGGUUGUUCGAAAAUUGCAUUAUUUUGAUGAACUGUUGAAUAGGGAUGGUUUGUUCUGGGGUUUGUUGCUUAAAGGAAGAGUUAGAGUUAAGCAAAAAUGUGGCUUUACUUGGAGAAAGAUUAAUACUCGAGUUGAGUUCACUCAUGAAGCUCAAGAUUGCUACAAGACAUUCCCGGGAAACAAAUCCAUCUUUCUUCUUUUUUGCUUUUUUCAUUUUUUUUCCAGGAAACUUUGAUGUUUGGUUCUAAGCCCACAAAGUUAGUUAUAGACUUAUAGUAGGGUUCAACCGGAUAUUUUUUUAUUUAGAGGUCCAAAAUUAAUUAAAACAUGGAAAUGACCAUAAUAUCCAUUGUUACCAAACGUGUGUGUCUGCACGUUCAUUAUAUCGAGUACAUAUCGGUUACACUGAUUAUA